GCAAAACUCCCCCUUGGCUGCAGCCUCUGGCUCUCAGAAAACUGAAGGCAACGUGAAGCCAUCAGUUCAAACUGAGUCAGCGACCCAAAAGCUGGAACUGAGGACACAGCCCAUAGUGAUAGAUGUUCUGUCUGCAAGGUCUGCUUCCUUUCCCAUGCAGGGUGCAUCCCCCCAUCUUGGACUGGUUUCUAUAAACUCAAAACAAGCUCAGGGAUGGCUACAAGAGCUGUGGUCGUAGCCAGUAUGACCUUUCCAAGCCUGUCCUUUCCUUGAGCUGGGGCUGGAGCACAGCUUUACAAGCCAGAAGGCUGAAGUCAGGAUUGCUUCAUUCAGCAAUGUUGGGAAUGGCUAAUAAACAUUACUAAAAGCUUGCUAAUAGCUUUAAUUAGGCUGCAGCUGAUGCUUCAUAAGUGGUUCUCUUUCCUCCUCCACCCCUUCCUUGCAGCUAUUUCCUGGUGGAGCUCAGGAAGAUGCUGGCUUCCUUCUAUGUGUGAGCACACCCGAGCUGUAGGACACCGUGGGCUCCUGCUGCAACAUCGUGGAAAGCACUGUUCAGUGCACCAUAGAGCAAGGUGGGUUGUGGAACCUUCGUGGCAACUGAGACAGCAAAGCCGUGGGGUUCUGCUGCUCUUUGGCUCAAGGGUCCUAAUUCUGGCUCUUUCCUCUUACACUUUUGAGUAUGGUUCUUAUAAUGCAUCUGAGCAUCCUGCUGUGCAGCCUCCCUCCACAGGGAUGUAUGAGUCUGUUUUGAAAGCAUCUUUACUUCAAGCCCCCACAGAAAUCAAACCAAACAUACUUUGGAAAAAACGCCCAUGCAGAUGA
rnacentral:lncRNA from 1 species